ensembl:lncRNA
UGAAGCGGUUUAUCGGCCCUCGUAACUAGGUAGAUGCCAGCGUUGUGCACGGUAAUUUAUGAGCUUUCCUCUAACCAAGGUAUGUGCUUGGUUUUAGGCACUUGCAACUGGUCUGUGCCGUCGUGGGUCCCUGCACGGUGGAAAGAAAACCCUGCUCUCAGUGAAGGAGACAGAGAAAGGAGAUGGUGCCCACAGGUGAUGGAGAAUUCCCCACAUCCUACUCUGGCUGAAGGCCCGUCAGGCUGGGCUGCAAACACUGAGUUCCCUUUCCUGCUCCUAUGCUCAUGCCAAAUACGGCUGGGCUGGAACAUAGGAUUUUGGAAGGGGUCAACAUACCUAGCCCUAGCUGUGAGAACGUCUCUUCUUUAGUGCAUGAAAGUGUUUAUACAAGGGCUUAAGCUUUGGUGAUGUUCUGUACCUCCUAGACUUUGCCUGAGGCAUCCCGUGAAUUAGGCUGGAGCUAAGACUUCGGGCUUGACGGAGCAUACAUAGCUGAUCUUCAGUUUGAUCUGCAAUAUGGGUAAAAAGGAAAGACGAUCGCUUUGUCUUUGCCUGCCUUAGUACCUACAUAUCUGUGAAGAUGGGAAAACACGAGAUGCAGCUAUAGUCAGCCUGAUUCCUGAACACUGAGGUGCAGAGAGAAGUGCAUCUUGGCAAGCUAAACAUGAAAGAAAGCAAUAUCAGUGGAGGACAACUGAGUCUGGAAAUUUUGCCUAAUCAGGAAGACCUCCCCAAUUCAUUCCAGGCCAGGUCCAGCUAAAUGUUCCACUUCAAGUACAGUUCCAACACAAAUACAUUUUUGACUAUUUCCAACAAAACAAAAGCAAGUUGUGAAAUGACAGAGUUUAAAACCAGAGAAGAAUACUUCUAAAUCUUUAAUUAGUCUCAGUAACUUUGCUGUUCUCUCCUACGCCACAGCACACGUGGUGGGCUUUUGCAAAAGUACGCAUGUCCUUAACUCUGCUUCCAGGGAAGUGCGUGUGAGUUUCAAUGGGCGUGUCAGUAGGCCUCAGAACACCUUAGAUUUCCCCUAUAUUGUGCACAAUGUAACAGUGCAACAGAGAGAUAUUUUUCACACCCUGUGCAACUGUAUUGUAACUGAAGUGUUGUUAUGGGCUCCUAUCCUCUUCUAUAGUGCAAGGCUGUGUAUUGCAGCUAGAGGGGGUAAGCAGGCAGAAGAUAGUCUCAGCUAAUAUUUUGCAUUUGAAAACUUUUGAUCUUGCCGCUCUUUUCUCCUUCCCCUGAUCUAGGUGACACCUACCUUAAUUGCAGACACAUCUCUAUCUUCAAUAAAAUUUUACCUGCAUGUGUAUUUAUAGUAUAC